rnacentral:piRNA from 1 species
UAUUUAAAUCGUUGUGAAUGA